AUUGAACGCUGGCGGCAUGCCUUACACAUGCAAGUCGAACGGCAGCACGGGAGCAAUCCUGGUGGCGAGUGGCGAACGGGUGAGUAAUACAUCGGAACGUGCCCAGUAGUGGGGGAUAGCCCGGCGGAAGCCGGAUUAAUACCGCAUACGACCUGAGGGUGAAAGCGGGGGAUCGCAAGACCUCGCGCUAUUGGAACGGCCGAUGUCGGAUUAGCUAGUUGGUGGGGUAAGGCUCACCAAGGCAACGAUCCGUAGCUGGUCCGAGAGGACGACCAGCCACACUGGGACUGAGACACGGCCCAGACUCCUACGGGAGGCAGCAGUGGGGAAUUUUGGACAAUGGGCGCAAGCCUGAUCCAGCCAUGCCGCGUGCGGGAAGAAGGCCUUCGGGUUGUAAACCGCUUUUGUCAGGGAAGAAACGCGCUGGGUUAAUACCUUGGCGUAAUGACGGUACCUGAAGAAUAAGCACCGGCUAACUACGUGCCAGCCGCCGCCGUAAUAC
rnacentral:rRNA from 1 species